rnacentral:rRNA from 1 species
AACGAACGCUGGCGGCAGGCCUAACACAUGCAAGUCGAACGCCGUAGCAAUACGGAGUGGCAGACGGGUGAGUAACACGUGGGAACGUACCCUUCGGUUCGGAAUAACUCAGGGAAACUUGAGCUAAUACCGGAUACGUCCGAGAGGAGAAAGAUUUAUCGCCGAGGGAUCGGCCCGCGUCUGAUUAGCUUGUUGGUGAGGUAACGGCUCACCAAGGCGACGAUCAGUAGCUGGUCGAGAGGAUGAUCAGCCACAUUGGGACUGAGACACGGCCCAAACUCCUACGGGAGGCAGCAGUGGGGAAUAUUGGACAAUGGGCGCAAGCCUGAUCCAGCCAUGCCGCGUGAGCGAUGAAGGCCCCUAGGGUUGUAAAGCUCUUUUACCCGGGAAGAUAAUGACUGUACCGGGAGAAUAAGCCCCGGCUAACUUCGUGCCAGCCGCCGCCGUAAG